rnacentral:rRNA from 1 species
UACAGAGGUCCCGAGCGUUGUUCGGAUUCAUUGGGCGUAAAGGGUGCGUAGGCGGCGGGGUAAGUCUGAUGUGAAAUCCUGGGGCUCAACCCUGGAACUGCAUUGGAUACUACCUUGCUAGAGUACUGGAGAGGAAACUGGAAUUUACGGUGUAGCAGUGAAAUGCGUAGAGAUCGUAAGGAAGACCAGUGGCGAAGGCGGGUCUCUGGACAGUUCCUGACACUGAGACACGAAGGCCAGGGGAGCAAACGGG